rnacentral:rRNA from 1 species
UGGGGAAUAUUGGACAAUGGGCGAAAGCCUGAUCCAGCCAUGCCGCGUGAGUGAAGAAGGCCCUAGGGUUGUAAAGCUCUUUCGCUAGGGAAGAUAAUGACGGUACCUAGUAAAGAAGCCCCGGCUAACUUCGUGCCAGCAGCCGCGGUAAUACGAAGGGGGCUAGCGUUGUUCGGAAUUACUGGGCGUAAAGCGCACGUAGGCGGAUUGUUUAGUCAGAGGUGAAAUCCCGGGGCUCAACCCCGGAACUGCCUUUGAUACUGGCAGUCUAGAGACUGGAAGAGGUGAGUGGAAUUCCGAGUGUAGAGGUGAAAUUCGUAGAUAUUCGGAGGAACACCAGAGGCGAAGGCGGCUCACUGGUCCAGUACUGACGCUGAGGUGCGAAAGCGUGGGGAGCAAACAGGAUUAGAUACCCCCGUAGUCC